rnacentral:tRNA from 1 species
UCUCUGGAGGACUAGUGGUUAGGCCACACUAGCGCUCUCACUGCGGUGGCCCAGGUUCGAUUCCCGGCCAGGGAA